rnacentral:rRNA from 1 species
UAGUCCACGCCGUAAACGAUGUGUGCUAGUUGUCGGGGCUUACGGCUUCGGUGACGCAGGGAAACCACUAAGCACACCGCCUGGGGAGUACGGCCGCAAGGUUAAAACUCAAAGGAGUUGACGGGGACCCGCACAAGCGGUGGAGCAUGUUGUUUAAUUCGAAGCAACGCGAAGAACCUUACCCACACUUGACAUCCUUCUUGGGACUUUCAGAGAUGAUUGUCUUCGGUUCGGCCGGGGAAGUGACAGGUGCUGCAUGGCUGUCGUCAGCUCGUGUCGUGAGAUGUUAGGUUAAGUCCUGCGACGAGCGCAACCCUUAUCGUAUGUUGCCAUCAUUUAGUUGGGCACUCGUGCGAGACUGCCGGUGAUAAGCCGGAGGAAGGCGGGGACGACGUCAAGUCAUCAUGGCCCUUACGUGUGGGGCUACAACGUGAAAACUCAAUGGGUAUGACAGUGGGCAGCCACUCCGCGAGGAGGCGCUAAUCCCUAAACGUACUCUCAGUUCGGAUUGUUCU